GACUGGUCGCCGCCGGCGCGCCGGCUCUCGCGCUCCUCGCUCAGCCCGGAUCGGCUGAGCGACGGCCGCGACCCGUCGCCGGAGCGGCGCCGGCCGCCGCUGCCGCGCUACGUGGGCGGCCACGACGAGUACAGAGGCCCCAAGACCUCGUCUCCGCUGGUACAGGACGACUACAGCCGCUCUCACGACAAGAGGAAGCCGCCUUACGAGCGCAUCUAGCGGCCAGUGCGUCGGCCUGGCCGCGGCGCGCGUGCUGCCCUCUCUCAUGACCCCGUGGGCUUCUCGGCGGGAUUGUGCUGUAGGCCCGGGCGCGGUCCACGGGCGCGCUGCGUCGGAGACCCCAGAAGGGGCUCAGUAGGCCCCCCGUUCAGAGCCGGGGGCUGACGGGCGUCAGCGGCCAGCCGCAUGUUCAGGGCGCGCCUCGUCGGGGCGCGGUGCGCCGGGCUCCCCGGCCGUGCCGGUCUCCGUUUGCCACCUUGCCGCGCGGGUAUAGCUGUUGUGGAUUUCAGUGAGUUUGUAUAUAGCCUCUAUUUAAAUACAUUCCGCGCGUUGCAGGUGGGCUGUGACUCGCGCUGCCCCCCUCCCCCCUUCGAUCAGCUGGCGCCCUCCCCCUCCCCCGACUGCCCACGUGAUAUAUACUGUACGUGCGAUAUAAAUAUGAUCAACUUUCGUGGCGCGUUAUCUGUGAAAAUACCAAGCGAUAAUACAAGGUUUGGGAAACUGG